AUGGAGGACAAUGCUCACACUUUUAGAACGGAAUCCAGCCGGGUACGGGCCAUUGGUGCAGUGUUGAAGAGGGGAGCGGCCAGCUGGUACGUUCAACUGCACGCGCGGCGCGACCCAUGUCUGGGGUCACUCCGACGCUUUAUGGGGGCCCUGGAGACCCGUUUCCGAGAUCCACUGGAGCAGAUCCGGGCGAGGGAGAAGUUGAAGACCGUCUCCCAGGGGCAGAGGUCAGUAUCUGAGUAUGCGGAGGAGUUCCAAUGCCUCGCUGAAAAGGUGCCGGAAUGGUCUGCAGUAACAAAGAUAGAACUCUUCAAAGAGGGUCUCAGGCGGGAGAUCCUCUCCUGGGCGGUGCAUCGUGAUGAGCCUGACACACUGCGCGGAUGGAUUCAGCUGGCGGGGCGCAUCGAGACAUCGCUGGCCCAGGCGAGGAGGCACCGAGGAGGGCUACAGCAGCGGCCGCAGAUGAAAGAGGGGAGCCGGAAGGAGGGAUCAACCCCAGCCGGGAGGAGAACGGAGCCGACAGGGAACGUGAGCACCAGCAGGAGGGGCUGCUUCGUGUGCGGCCGUUUGGGCCACAGGGCUGCCGAGUGCUGGCAGAGAAAAGGGGAAGGCGGAGGCCCGCCCAAACCAAGAGCCGUGGCAGGGAAACGCGCCGAGGAAGAACCACCGAUGAGGCACCACUCGGGGGGGUUGGAUGAAGGGGAGGAGGACGCCAUGUCAGAACCCUGCUACUAGAGCCUGGAUGUGGCUCUGAGUUUCAGGGUCACUGACAUUGAUAAGACACCUGCGGCUCAGGACUUGGAGAAGAAACGGCUGCUGGACUUGGCGGGGAAUUUGCGCGGGGUUUUACUGAGCGGGAAGAGACUGUUCAAAUGAGGGGGAGGGUAUAUAAAGGAGGGUUGGCCGUAGUAUCCCAUUCUUGGCUUUUCUGAUGUUCAUGUUUCCUACAGUAAAAGUUUCUGGUGAUAUCACAGAGAGUCUUGUGUGUUCAUUCAGGAGCGGCUGUGGUGAGCUGACACUGGGAGGGCAUCUAGACAUCCCCGGGAAAGUGCACACUUUCUUAAACCCGCUUCAGUGAGCAUUUAAGUGCUGUGUGGAAGCAGCCUGGUUUAAAAUGGAAGAAAAAUUGUAACAGACUACUUUAUUAGCCAAAGCCAUGGGUAGCAGUGGCUGAUGACUCCCUUAUCAGCCAGGAAGCAAAUAAGUUUUAUCCCACAGUUUGAAGCAGUUGUCUGAGAUGCUGAACCUAUCUGAAGGAAUUUUUUUCAACAUCUUAGAUAGUUUUUGCAAAGUUCAGACUAAAACUCAGAGUUCUUUAAUUGUCUUACUCACAUGGAAGCUACUAGCUGCUACUGACCAUAGGGCAUGAAUGUGAAAAUAUUAUAUAUAUUUGGACUAGAAUCCCUGGAAUUGUACAUCUAGCAUGGUCACAGACAAAGGAUUACAUGAAAUAGACAAAACAUUGUUAGGCCUUUUGGCAAUAGCCUCAGCUGCCCUCUAUACUACGAGUGUCCAUCCUGACUAUAUGGCUUAGGGCUUGUCAGAAGCAGGUUUGUUGUUCAGGGCAUGUGCUUGGGGCAAUUCUUGAUCAUUACUGCAGAACAUAUGUUCCCCCUCAAGCCAAAUGCUGCCACAAACCAGUGGGGGCUCAAUAAACUUCCUGUUUUAGCCGCAUGCCUGGAAAUGUAAAAACAGAAAUGUAAAGCAUCAGAAAAAACACUACAGAAGGCACUUGAUCUAAAUUUGGAUUAGUAUUACAAUCUUGUAGGUUUGAUCUUGAUUAUAAACCACAUCCAAACAGCAUGAUACACACAUAGAAAUGACACAAGCAUUGGUAGGCCUGAAGCUAUUCUCCCGACAGACAAAAAAUCAAUAGUUAUGCUAGCAGUUAAGGACAUAAAUGCAUCCAUGGAAGUAAAGAAGACAUGGACAACUGAAGGGAAACUGUUCUUAUCAUUCAGAGGAAAAUACAGAAUACUUUUUCUUUCUUCAUUGAGCUAUAAUAGAUAUACCUGUGAGCUAGUGUGAUGUAGUGGUUGGAAUCCUGGAUUACAGAUCUGGAGACCAGGUUUCCAAUCCCUGUUCAAGCAUAGAGAUCCAUUUAGGAAGGCAAUGACAAAGCUCUCAAUAAAAUCCUAGGAAGACAACUUUGUAAUGCAUUUGCCUUAGGGUCGCUAUAAGUUAAAAACAACUGAAAGACAAACAACUACAAGCUCACACGAACAAGAUAUACCUGUGCAUUUUGUGGAGGCUAGAUUGUUCACUGCCAUUUGAGGUAUGCUAAGAACCAGAAGCCUGCAGUUGUGGGAUCAGCCAGAACUGAAUUCCAAUCCAAGACCAGAGGACAAGCCGAUGAGUCAAGACCAAGGAGAAAGGAAAGAUAAUCAAUGUGCCAGAGCUCUGUAAGAAGCUAUUACAAGGCUAGAACAAGAAGCCUUGUACUCCUUUCAAUCCAGGGCAAUUCAUGGGUCAGCCUGAGUGGGAAGAAUCACUCCAGGGCUUUAGGGUACCAUAGAAUCAUAGCUUUGGCAGAAAGUUCAAGGGCUGCCUAAUCCAAUCCCCUGCCAGUGCAGGAUCCACACCAGCGCCAUCCAACGUCAGUUGGGUGUCAUCCAGCGCCAUCCAACGUCAGUUGAAAAAAUAUCAACAAAUGAUAGCCCACCACUGAUGGGUAGUUUAUUCAACUGAUAAACAGCUCUCGCUAUCAGUAAAUCUUUCCUAAUAUUUAGUUGAGAUUUCUUCUCUUAAAAUUUGAAUUCCUUGGUUCCUGUUCAGUCCUCUAGAAGAGUAGAAAACAUAUCCUUUACACAAUGUCCCUCCAGGUAUUUAGACAUGGCUAACAUAUCACCUCAAAAUCUUCUCUGCUCCCUCAACCAUUGAUUUUAGUGCUUGUUUUCUAGAAUUUUUGCCCUCAGGGUCACCCUCCUCCAGACCUCUUUCUUAAACUGGUGUCCAGAACUAGAAACAGUAUUCCAGAUGAGAAUGACAAGACAGAAUGCAGCAUAGCCACUUCCCUUGAUCUGGAUACUAGUUCCAUUGAUGUUGCUCAUCAUUUCAUUGGGUUAUUUUUCUUCUUUGCCACUGCAGCAUACUUAUGUUAACUGUGCAAUCUAGUUCACUUCCAAGCUGCCAUGUGAAGUUCAGUGGUUCAACACAUGGGGGAGUUGCAUGCAUGUCUGCCAGCCCCAGUCCUGUAAUUAUUCCAUGAGUUGGCUCAAUUUUUCUUAUGUAGAUUUGACUGAUAGAAUUUCUGAAAUUAAUUCUGUAACUGCCACCACUUUCCACUGUAAUGAGUUCAUUUGCAUGUUUCACCCACCACCAUCACACUAUGCAUUAUGCAAAUCUCUGUCCUCUCUGUCCUCCCUUUGGGUGAUAUGUUUACUGUAUGGUGCUAAUGAGUCCAACUUAGAGUGGCCAUGUGUCCUAUUUUACAGAAGACAUUUUCCUAUUUUGUGGGUGGAGAUGGCAUGCAUCCUGCAGAGUGCAUCUCUGUAUUUCAAUUCAACUUUGUAACUCUAUAGGAAACCUCCAAGCAACCCUUAUGUCUACUGGCUUCCAUGUUACAGCUACCAUAUGACAGAACAGCAAUUCCUGAUUAUAAGUGACCCACUCUCCUCUUGUCCUGUUUACAAAUAGAUUUCCUAUUCUAAACAGUGUGGCUGAUGGCUUUCAUACAUGUAGGUAGGCGUUUUUUGUCUGAACUUUACAAGAAACGAAGCUAUUUGGAGAAAAUAGUCAGUACUUUGGGUGUCACUGUCUAUGAUAAUAUUCACUCCAGAAACCAGAGCCCACUGACAGAGCCUGUGCCACCAGCCAGUUCUGUUUCAGGAUGCCAAGUGCCCAACUAAAUGCACCUCUUGCUCAAUGGAACAAACAGUCCAGAAAUGAAGGCAGUCUAGGGUCAUAGCCAGAGUGUCCAAAGAAGCAAAAGUGGAUUGAAACAGUCCAUUGUCUAAACAUGAAUAGCAGUCAAAGCAAAGUCAAAUACCAAUCAGGGAUGUAUCCCCAACACCAAAAACAGAUAGUGGAAGUUUUAUUUUUUCCAGCACAGAAAAAGGCUUGGCUGCUUUCAUUUGUAGCCAGAUGUAAUUCAAGCCUGCAGCCCAAUUAUUCCUGC
ensembl:lncRNA